rnacentral:rRNA from 1 species
GACGAACGCUGGCGGCGUGCUUAACACAUGCAAGUCGAACGGAAAGGCCCUGCUUUUGUGGGGUGCUCGAGUGGCGAACGGGUGAGUAACACGUGAGUAACCUGCCCUUGACUUUGGGAUAACUUCAGGAAACUGGGGCUAAUACCGGAUAGGAGCUCCUGCUGCAUGGUGGGGGUUGGAAAGUUUCGGCGGUUGGGGAUGGACUCGCGGCUUAUCAGCUUGUUGGUGGGGUAGUGGCUUACCAAGGCUUUGACGGGUAGCCGGCCUGAGAGGGUGACCGGCCACAUUGGGACUGAGAGACGGCCCAGACGCCUACGGGAGGCAGCAGUGGGGAAUAUUGCACAAUGGGCGGAAGCCUGAGGCAGCAACGCCGCGGGCGGGAUGACGGCCUUCGGGUUGUAAACCGCUUCCGCCUGUGACGAAGCGUGAGUGACGGUAAUGGGUAAAGAAGCACCGGCUAACUACGUG